rnacentral:lncRNA from 1 species
UGUACAGAUAAAGGCUGCUGCUCCUGAUUUGGCUUCCCAGACAUCCAAUCAGAGAUACCCACAAGGGAGACUUGCUAUCAUCUGGCCAAAAAGGGAGAUAGGAAAGUGUAAGAUCUUUGAAGAUGAACUGUACUGAAAACCAAACACAACUAGCUUCUUUGAGAAGAGAACCUGCGACAGUUUUAAAAUUUCACAAGGUGCCAAAUAUGCUACAUAUGCUGUCCAGAUGGUCAGGAUGGAAAAGAACUUCGGUUUCAAUGCAAGUGGACAAUAGAAGAAGGAAGUCUAUACUGAUAUCUCUCUGCAGGUUAAUGUCCCAAGACCCUCUUUCCUGUAGUUACAGGCAGUGGAGUUUGGGGAAGCAUGGGAACAGUGUGAAAAGUACUGCCUUAGGGGUUAGGUGAUCCAAUCAUAGUCCCAGUUUUGUCCUAAACUUGCCACAUGACCUUAAAUAAGUCAGUCUUCUGCUUCGCUUUUCGAUUUUCUCCUGCCUAAAAUGUGGUGGUUGAACAAGAAGAUAAUCUCAAAGAUAUCCUUAUCUGUAUUAUUCUUAAUAAGUAAAGAGGUCUGUGCUAUUUUUAGAAGCUAUGGGGCAUGAAGGUUGUGUGGACAAGAAGGUGUUACAUUUUCCAGAGCAGCAUGCUACUUUAGUGAAGAUCGCCGUCCGUAAAUCAGUUGUGUAGACUCCAUCUUUUCUCUUUAUGGGAGAGAAAUUAUCACACAAAAUAAUCAAGAUUUGGUGGAUAAAUUCCUGGAGAAUAUGAAUGGUGUUGUAAGAGUCUGUUCUUAAAAACAUAUUUUAUCCAGAUAUUUAUAGUUGGAAUCCAUGCAUUUAGCUUAAACACUCCCUGGUCUGUAAAAUGAAAUGAAUUACCGCCCUAACUUAACAUCGUCUCUGGCUCUAAGCAGAGGAGAAAAA